GCGGGUGGGGCCGGGCACCGCUCACCCAGCGCGACGUUGGGAGCGGCGUGGCGGAGAGGAAGCCGAACCCCGCGGUGAGAAUCCCGCACGGUUACGAGGCUUUGAGCUAUUCUGUGGAAAAUGAUGGCAAGUGGAGCGGGAGACAGCUACUGCAAGCAAAUGAGGACAACACGACGGAAGGCCCAGGGGACGGGGGGAAGCUGUAUGUCAGAAAUUGCACUGAACCAGGUAGGAAUGAUAGUUGCUUCCAGCCCCCCAGUCACACAGUUGACUUUCUUACUUCCAGAUAUCCACA
rnacentral:lncRNA from 1 species